rnacentral:rRNA from 1 species
UUGUUCGGAAUUACUGGGCGUAAAGCGCACGUAGGCGGACUGGAAAGUCAGAGGUGAAAUCCCAGGGCUCAACCUUGGAACUGCCUUUGAAACUAUCAGUCUGGAGUUCGAGAGAGGUGAGUGGAAUUCCGAGUGUAGAGGUGAAAUUCGUAGAUAUUCGGAGGAACACCAGGUGGCGUAAGGCGGCUCACUGGCUCGAUACUGACGCUGAGGUGCGAAAGCGUGGGGAGCAACACAGGAUUAGAUACCCUGGUAGUCCACGCCGUAAACGAUGUCCACUUGGAGGUUGUGCCCUUGAGGCGUGGCUUCCGGAGCUAACGCGUUAAGUCGACCGCCUGGGGAGUACGGCCGCAAGGUUAAAACUCAAAUGAAUUGACGGGGGCCCGCACAAGCGGUGGAGCAUGUGGUUUAAUUCGAUGCAACGCGAAGAACCUUACCUGGUCUUGACAUCCACGGAAGUUUUCAGAGAUGAAAAUGUGCCUUCGGGAACCGUGAGACAGGUGCUGCAUGGCUGUCGUCAGCUCGUGUUGUGAAAUGUUGGGUUAAGUCCCGCAACGAGCGCAACCCUUAUCCUUUGUUGCCAGCGGUCCGGCCGGGAACUCAAAGGAGACUGCCAGUGACUAAACUGGAGGAAGGUGGGGAUGACAAUCAAGUCACUCACCGCCCUUACGACCUAGGGCUACAUCACGUGCUACAAUGGCGCAUACAAAGAGAAGCGACCUCGCGAGAGCAAGCGGACCUCAUAAAGUGCGUCGUAGUCCGGAUUGGAGUCUGCAACUCGACUCCAUGAAGUCGGAAUCGCUAGUAAUCGUGGAUCAGAAUGCCACGGUGAA